ACUCCGUACGGGGAGGCAGCAGGUGAGGGAAUAUUGGUCAAGUAGGUCGCAAGACUGAACCAGCCACUGCCGCGUGCAGGAAGACGGUCCUAUGAUUGUAAACUGCUUUUAUUACAGGAAGAAACCCUCCCCACCGUGUGGGAGCUUGACGGUACUGUAGGAAUAAGGAUCGGCUAACUCCGUGCCAGCAGCCGCGGUAAUACGGGAGGAUCCAAGCGUUAUCCGGAAUCAUUGGGUUUAAAGGGGUCCGUAGGCGGCCUUAUAAGUCAGUGGUGAAAGCCCAUCGCUCAACGAUGGAACUGCCAUUGAUACUGUAAGGCUUGAAUUAUUGUGAAGGUAACUAGAAUAUGUAGUGUAGCGGUGAAAUGCUUAGAUAUUACAUGGAAUACCAAUUGCGAAGGCAGGUUACUAACAAUGGAUUGACGCUGAUGGACG
rnacentral:rRNA from 1 species